rnacentral:rRNA from 1 species
UACGGAGGGGGCCAGCGUUGUUCGGAAUUAUUGGGCGUAAAGGGCGCGUAGGCGGCCAAACAAGUCUGACGUGAAAUCCCUCGGCCCAACCGGGGAACUGCGUUUGAAACUGUUUGGCUCGAGUCCGGGAGAGGGUAGCGGAAUUCCCAGUGUAGCGGUGAAAUGCGUAGAUAUCGGGAGGAACACCGGUGGCGAAGGCGGCUACCUGGACCGGUACUGACGCUGAGGCGCGAAAGCUAGGGUAGCAAACAGG